UGGGGAAUUUUCCGCAAUGGGCGACAAGCCUGACGGAGCAAUACCGCGUGAGGGAGGAAGGCUCUUGUGGUUGUAAACCUCUUUUCUGGGGGACGAAGAAUUUGACCGGUAACCCACAUGGAAAUAAGACUUU
rnacentral:rRNA from 1 species